rnacentral:rRNA from 1 species
AACGAACGCUGGCGGCGUGGAUAAGACAUGCAAGUCGAACGGGACAAGUAGCAAUUUUUGUCUAGUGGCGAACGGGUGCGUAACACGUGGGCAACAUGCCUGGAAGAGCGGGAUAGCCCGGGGAAACUCGGAUUAAUACCGCAUGUGACAACGGGGCGGAUUCGCCCUGUUUUCAAAGGUGGGGACCGCAAGGCCUGCCGCUUCCAGAUUGGCCCGCGUCCUAUCAGCUAGUUGGCGGGGUAACGGCCCACCAAGGCGACGACGGGUAGCUGGUCUGAGAGGACGACCAGCCACACUGGAACUGAGACACGGUCCAGACACCUACGGGUGGCAGCAGUCGAGAAUCUUUCACAAUGGGGGAAACCCUGAUGGAGCGACGCCGCGUGGAGGAUGACGGUCCUCGGAUUGUAAACUCCUGUCAUGAAAGAACAAGCGGAGCGGGUGAACAGCCCGCCGAGUUGAUAGUAUUUCAAGAGGAAGGGACGGCUAACUUCGUGCCAGCAGCCGCUGUAAUAC